AUAGCUGAAUUGUUGGCUAUACGGUUUCUUGUUAGCCCCGGUAAUCUUCUUCGUCGCCAAACAUAGAAAGAUUAUCGGGGUUUUUGCUUU
rnacentral:antisense_RNA from 1 species